rnacentral:lncRNA from 1 species
GGUAUAUAUACACAAACUAUGUACCUGCUGGUACACUACUUGGAUGGUGACUACACCAGUCCAACAACUACUCUACAUGGCUUAUCUCAGCCAAUACCUACUCUUGUACCAGCCUAAACCAGCCCACUACUCUAGCUGGUGUACUUCUACCAACUAUGGAAGACUAAAUGGCCUAUUGCCAUACUUCUACAGUGGCAGCCGAGAGCUGACCACUUGAACCUGCCGACUGCAGGACAGAAAUGCAAGAGGGACAGCAGAUUAUAUCUUACAAUCUUCCCCUAAUCCUGCUGUGUACUCUUGACGUCCACCAUGCCAAUCUUGCUCCUUAGCUCCAAGAACCGAAGUCGCCCUACUGGCUUAGUGAAGAUGUCAGCGAGUUGUCGACCGGUCUCAACAAACUCGAUGACAAUCUGCUUCUCCUCGACGCAAUCACGCAGGAAGUGGAACUUCACAUCGAUGUGUUUGCUUCGGUCGUGGAGAACAGGGUUCUUCGCCAGCGCUAUUGCUGGCUGAUUGUCCACCUUGAGCACAAGCGGCCGGGGCUCAAUUGCUUCCACUUCAUCUGCGUCGCCCACUCACCGUAGUUGGUGCGGGUGAGCAUGGGCCAGGAGCCGCUGCCACCGAACUCCUUCACCACGUGCACCUCCACCUGCGGUGGCGCCGGCUGGAGCUGUCGCUCGCCACCCUCCCGGCCACCAUUCCGGCCCGCAUCCUCCGCCAUUGCUGGUCAGUGGACCUAGCUACGGCCUGUACGGCUCUAAUACCAAUUGUUGGCACCUGCACACAAGCACCAGGUAAGCAGACCCUGCUCACCUUCCCUCUCCCACUCCCCUGCACCAAGGAAGAGGAAGAGCCCUGAGCUCCCUCACUCACUCACGCAGCACACACACACACAGCUUUCAGACUUGAACUGAAAGCUGGAGAACUGAAUGAGUGGCAAUGAACUGAGUUUUCCAUUGCAAUAGGUAGGGUAUAUAUACACAAACUAUGUACCUGCUGGUACACUACUUGGAUGGUGACUACACCAGUCCAACAACUACUCUACAUGGCUUAUCUCAGCCAAUACCUACUCUUGUACCAGCCUAAACCAGCCCACUACUCUAGCUGGUGUACUUCUACCAACUAUGGAAGACUAAAUGGCCUAUUGCCAUACUUCUACAGUGGCAGCCGAGAGCUGACCACUUGAACCUGCCGACUGCAGGACAGAAAUGCAAGAGGGACAGCAGAUUAUAUCUUACAAAAUAUAGUGCUCAAAACACUUGUACUAUGCUCUUUUGACUUCUAUGCAGCACUACUUAUCUGAGAACGGCAUUACUUCUAUCCAUUUUUUAGCGAAUAUGACAGGUGUUCUGUCGUUUCAUUAAGUUGAAAGCAAAGGUAGUAUUUACAAUGAAUUAAGAGUUAUUGACUUCCUACACUACCCUGCUAGAAUCGGCGACAAAAGUAAAUCACA